AUGUCAAUGUUUUCUUGUCUGUUUUUCCUUCUCGUUGGAUUGCUACUAUGCACUGGGUGUGGGAUCUACAUAUUUCAGCUGUUAGACUGGUACAUUGCAGCCUUUUGUUUACCUCUCUUUGGAGUGAUUGAAUGUUUAAUUUUUGGCUGGAUUUAUGGGGCAGAUAACUUGUCACGUGACAUUGAAAUGAUGAUUGGAAGAGGUGUACCUAUUUAUAUGAGGAUUUUGUGGUGUGUAAUUACACCCCUCCUUUUAGUGGUGCGUUU